GACGAACGCUGGCGGCGUGCUUAACACAUGCAAGUCGAACGGAAAGGCCCUGCUUUUGUGGGGUGCUCGAGUGGCGAACGGGUGAGUAACACGUGAGUAACCUGCCCUUGACUUCGGGAUAACUUCAGGAAACUGGGGCUAAUACCGGAUAGGAGCUCCUGCUGCAUGGUGGGGGUUGGAAAGUUUCGGCGGUUGGGGAUGGACUCGCGGCUUAUCAGCUUGUUGGUGGGGUAGUGGCUUACCAAGGCUUUGACGGGUAGCCGGCCUGAGAGGGUGACCGGCCACAUUGGGACUGAGAUACGGCCCAGACUCCUACGGGAGGCAGCAGUGGGGAAUAUUGCACAAUGGGCGGAAGCCUGAUGCAGCAACGCCGCGUGCGGGAUGACGGCCUUCGGGUUGUAAACCGCUUUCGCCUGUGACGAAGCGUGAGUGACGGUAAUGGGUAAAGAAGCACCGGCUAACUACGUGCCAGCAGCCGCGGUGAUACGUAGGGUGCGAGCGUUGUCCGGAUUUAUUGGGCGUAAAGGGCUCGCAGGUGGUUGAUCGCGUCGGAAGUGUAAUCUUGGGGCUUAACCCUGAGCGUGCUUUCGAUACGGGUUGACUUGAGGAAGGUAGGGGAGAAUGGAAUUCCUGGUGGAGCGGUGGAAUGCGCAGAUAUCAGGAGGAACACCAGUGGCGAAGGCGGUUCUCUGGGCCUUUCCUGACGCUGAGGAGCGAAAGCGUGGGGAGCGAACAGGCUUAGAUACCCUGGUAGUCCACGCUGUAAACGGUGGGUACUAGGUGUGGGGUCCAUUCCACGGGUUCCGUGCCGUAGCUAACGCUUUAAGUACCCCGCCUGGGGAGUACGGCCCCAAGGCUAAAACUCAAAGGAAUUGACGGGGCCCCGCACAAGCGGCGGAGCAUGCGGAUUAAUUCGAUGCAACGCGUAGAACCUUACCUGGGUUUGACAUGGAUCGGGAGUGCUCAGAGAUGGGUGUGCCUCUUUUGGGGUCGGUUCACAGGUGGUGCAUGGCUGUCGUCAGCUCGUGUCGUGAGAUGUUGGGUUAAGUCCCGCAACGAGCGCAACCCUUGUUCACUGUUGCCAGCACGUUAUGGUGGGGACUCAGUGGAGACCGCCGGGGUCAACUCGGAGGAAGGUAGGGAUGACGUCAAGUCAUCAUGCCCCUUAUGUCCAGGGCUUCACGCAUGCUACAAUGGCUGGUACAGAGAGUGGCGAGCCUGUGAGGGUGAGCGAAUCUCGGAAAGCCGGUCUCAGUUCGGAUUGGGGUCUGCAACUCGACCUCAUGAAGUCGGAGUCGCUAGUAAUCGCAGAUCAGCAACGCUGCGGUGAAUACGUUCCCGGG
rnacentral:rRNA from 1 species